rnacentral:rRNA from 1 species
UACGUAGGGUGCGAGCGUUAAUCGGAAUUACUGGGCGUAAAGCGUGCGCAGGCGGUUUUGUAAGCCAGAUGUGAAAUGCCCGGGCUUAACCUGGGAACUGCAUUUGUGACUGCAUGGCUAGAGUUGGCAGAGGGGGGGUAGAAUUCCACGUGUAGCAGUGAAAUGCGUAGAUAUGUGGAGGAACACCGAUGGCGAAGGCAGCCCCCUGGGU